rnacentral:rRNA from 1 species
ACUGAAUAGAUACCCUGGUAGUCCACGCCGUAAACGAUGAGAACUAGCUGUCGGGGGCCUUAGGCUUUCGGUGGCGCAGCUAAACGCAUUAAGUUCUCCGCCUGGGGAGUACGGCCGCAAGGUUAAAACUCAAAGAAAUUGACGGGGGCCUGCACAAGCGGUGGAGCAUGUGGUUUAAAUUCGAAGCAACGCGCAGAACCUUACCAGCGUCUGACAUCCUCAUCGCGGAUUCCAGAGAUGGUUUCCUUCAGUUCGGCUGGAUGAGUGACAGGUGCUGCAUGGCUGUCGUCAGCUCGUGUCGUGAGAUGUUGGGUUAAGUCCCGCAACGAGCGCAACCCUCGUCUUUAGUUGCCAUCAUUAAGUUGGGCACUCUAAAGAAACCGCCGGUGAUAAGCCGGAGGAAGGUGGGGAUGACGUCAAGUCCUCAUGGCCCUUACGCGCUGGGCUACACACGUGCUACAAUGGCGGUGACAGUGGGCAGCAAUCCCGCGAGGG